rnacentral:rRNA from 1 species
AUUGAACGCUGGCGGCAGGCCUAACACAUGCAAGUCGAACGAGUGGCGGACGGGUGAGUAAUGUCUGGGAAACUGCCUGAUGGAGGGGGAUAACUACUGGAAACGGUAGCUAAUACCGCAUACCAUCAGAUGUGCCCAGAUGGGAUUAGCUAGUUGGUGGGGUAACGGCUCACCAAGGCGACGAUCCCUAGCUGGUCUGAGAGGAUGACCACGGCCACUGGAAAUGAGACACGGUCAAGACGCCUACGGGAGUCACCAGUGGGGAAUAUUGCACAACGGGCGCAAGCCUGCUGCAGCCCUGGCGCGUGUAUGAAGAAGGCCUUAGGGUUGCAAAGUACUUUCAGCGUGGAGGCGUUCCACUUAGAAGAAGCACCGGCUAACUCCGUGCCAGCCGCCGCGGUAAUUC